UAAUUACUCCCUCCGCCGGAAAUACUUGUCCUAAAAAUAAAUAAAUUGGAUGUACCUACAAUUAAAAUAAGUCUAGAUACGUGCAUUUCUAGGACAAGUAUUUCCGGACGGAGGGAGUACUUU
rfam:Hordeum vulgare subsp. vulgare, WGS project CAJW01000000 data, contig: morex_contig_2454864